CCCAAAAAAGAGGAAUUAAAGAUGAUAAAAUAUUUGAUGAUUUCCCAACGUGGGAGGAGCAGGAAAUGAAAUUUGGAGCAGAAUUUCCUGGAUGAGCUGCAAUAAAUCAACCACAGAGGAGCUCAGGAGCUGCUGCAGCUUGGGACACUCAGGCCCAUGGAGAAUUUGGGGUUUGAGCUGCAGGAGGAGAAAUCCCAGAGGAACAAAAAGGAAUUCCAGAAUGUUCCAAAAAAAUUUCCUGGUGGUU